UAUUCACUAAGAUUUAUUUUCUUUUAAGAAUUAAUAACCGAAAGGGUUAAAUAAAGAUUAGUAAAAUAGUAAAUCGUACUUUUUGUAUAACGGCUGUUCCAAAAGAAGAUGAAGUUUUAUUUUCCCGAAAUAAGAAGAUCUAAGUUGAAACUUUUGUUGGAAAUCAAGAAGUUAUGUAUCAUUAUAACACUGAGAUUUCAACUUAGGGGCGAAAAACCUACAAUUCUUAUGAUAUCUGGAUGUUCACGAAAAGUAUUUAGUACUAUAGACAGACAGCGAGUGCUUAGAUUUGCUGUAAAGAGAAUAAUAAAUGAAAUUUUAGUUUUAGGGUUAACACCCGAAUUUAAUUGAUAAAAUAAAAAGAUUAAUUUUGUCAUAAAUCUCUGUUGUUAGUGAACUUUCAUGUUAACUAAAAGAUGUUUAUUUAUGAUUAGAUGAGUAAUGCUGAAAAAAUAAGGAAAAGGAACUCGGCAAAUCUUUAUCUCAACUGUUUAUCAAAAACAUAGCCUAGAGGGAAUAAUUCUAGGUGAAGCCUGCCCAGUGACAGAGAUUUUAACGGCCGCGGUACUUUGACCGUGCUAAGGUAGCAUAAUCAGUUGACUUUUAAAUGAAGUCUUGUAUGAAUGGAUCCAUGGGAUUAGGCUGUCUCUUCCUUACUCUAUUGAAAUUACUAAAUAGGUGAAAAGGCCUAUAAAUGAAAAAAGACGAGAAGACCCUUAGAGUUUUUAAUGAAGGAUUUUUGUUGGGGCGACAAGAAGACAUUUAGUAACUCUUCUAGUAGACAAUUGAACUUGCCGAUUCUUUUAAGUAUGGAUAAACUACCUGAGGGAUAACAGCAUAAUCCAAUUUUUGGGUUUGUGACCUCGAUGUUGGACUAGGAAACUUGUACUCUAGCAGGGUAUAAAGUUAGGUUCUGUUCGAACUUUUCUUCCUACAUGAUCUGAGUUCAGACCGGCGUGAGCCAGGUCAGAUUCUAUCUUUUUAAAUUGAAAUUUUAGUACGAAAGGACCAAAUUAGAUCAGUUAAUUAAUAAUUUUGAC
rnacentral:rRNA from 1 species